rnacentral:rRNA from 1 species
GACGAACGCUGGCGGCGUGCUUAACACAUGCAAGUCGAACGGAAAGGCCCUGCUUUUGUGGGGUGCUCGAGUGGCGAACGGGUGAGUAACACGUGAGUAACCUGCCCUUGACUUUGGGAUAACUUCAGGAAACUGGGGCUAAUACCGGAUAGGAGCUCCUGCUGCAUGGUGGUGGUUGGAAAGUUUCGGCGGUUGGGGAUGGACUCGCGGCUUAUCAGCUUGUUGGUGGGGUAGUGGCUUACCAAGGCUUUGACGGGUAGCCGGCAUGAGAGGGUGACCGGCGACAUUGGGACUGAGAUACGGCCCAGACUACUACGGGAGGCAGCAGUGGGGAAUAUUGCAAAAUGGGCGGAAGCCUGAUGCAGAAACGCCGCGUGCGGGAUGACGGCCUGCGGGUUGUAAACCGCUUUCGCCUGUGAAGAAGAGUGAGUGACGGUAAUGGGUAAAGAAGCACCGGCUAACUACGUG